rnacentral:pre_miRNA from 1 species
UCCUUCAUUCCACCGGAGUCUGUGUCCAUCUCUGAUCCAGAUUCCCAGUGAGAUGAAGCGCA